rnacentral:rRNA from 1 species
UACGUAGGCAGCAAGCGUUGUUCGGAAUUACUGGGCGUAAAGCGUGCGCAGGCGGUUUUGUAAGUCAGAUGUGAAAUCCCCGGGCUUAACCUGGGAACUGCGUUUGAAACUACAAGGCUAGAGUGUGGCAGAGGGGGGUGGAAUUCCACGUGUAGCAGUGAAAUGCGUAGAGAUGUGGAGGAACACCGAUGGCGAAGGCAGCCCCCUGGGUUAACACUGACGCUCAGGCACGAAAGCGUGGGGAGCAAACAGG